GCGGGUGGUGUCACAGAUUCUGAUGGUGCCACAGAUUCUGAUGGUUUGCCUUAGAGAAAUGCUUCUUGCAGAGUUUUACCAGGGGUGUUUAGGAAGAAGUCACAUUAGUGCAGAGACUGUUUAAAAAUAAAAAUUGCCAUUAGUGUGUCAAAAGUAAUUAAAUGCUUUGUUCUGAAGCUUUUACAGUGAUUCUUAGGGCUUUUAGGCAAUUUUUUUUCCUCUAAUACCUCGUCUUAAUAGAAAACAUUGUUGGAAAAAAGAUUCUCUUAAAUUUGCCUCCUUCAGGAUGAGAGUUUGCCUGGCUUCCCAGACUUUCUCUAGGGGCGCAGGGUGGAGGUCUGGACAGGAAGGAGAACAGGUGAAAGACCACUCCCAGUGACUGGUGGCACCCAAACUGUAUUCUUCAUGUUCGUUUUAGAAGAGGCAACUGUCACCCUGCAACCCUCUAUUGUGGAUUAAAUUUGUGUCCCCUCAAAAGAUAGGUGGAAGUCCUGGCCUCCAAGAACCGUGAAUGUGACCUUAUUUGGAAACAGGAUCUUUGCAGAUGUAAUUGACAUGUAAGCUAAUAUGAGGUCAUAAUGGAGUAGGGUGGACCCUUAAUCUAAGAUGAUUCAUGUCCUUAUGAGAAAAGACCCAGGCAGAGAGGAGAAGGCCAUGUGGAGGCCCAGACAUAGAGGGAAGAGGAGGGAGGACAGAGGCAGAAUUUGGAGUGAUGCUGCCACAAGCCAAGGAGUGCCAGCUGUUACCACUAGAUGCUAAGAGACAAGGAAGGAGCUUCCCUUCAAUGCCUUCAGAGGGAUCUGCAGGUCAGAGCCAGCAACAUUCCACCAGUAAAGGGAAGAAGGCCUCAGGUGAGCAGGUGCACAAUUCCAGUAAACACCCUGUGCGUGCUCCCCUCCCAAGUGCUAGCAGGCCACUGCGCAGGUGCACAGCUCACCCCAAGUGACGAAUCAAGGGAAAAAGGAUGCAAGAUGCCAGAGGUAGAGGCCAACAUAGAAAACCCAAGGUCCAACGUCAAACAGGGCACUUGUCCUCCAAGAUGACUGCCUGGCCCUCUUCCAAGUAUAUUUUACUUUCUUUUCUUUCCACCCUAAAGCUUUUCAAUAAACAUUCACUCCUGCUGUAAAGUUUGCCUCCAUCUCUUCUUCUGUCUUAUGCCCCUCAGUGGAAUUCUUUCUUCUGAGGACAAGAAUUGUAGCUGCAGACCCGUACAGAUCUGCCAUUGGUAACUUGGAUACCUGUCAUCAAUAACACCUUGUCCCAUGGCAGGGAGCUGCACUGCGUUCAGGAGGGCUCAGCAGAUGCCACCAUGGUGGCCUGGACUGAGCACAUUUUUUCAGAGAGGUGUCUCUGGGGCAGUGGUGCCACCCUGGGCCCCCUGAGAGCAGCAGGGCGAGUGCCCUUGAGUCCCACUCAAGAUCCCGUGCAAGGUCAGACCCUGACUUUCCUCUCUAAUAGUGUAAACCCUGAAUCCAAACGACUGAGUCCUAAUCAGCGAUCCAGCCACGGAUACCUCCAGCCACAGCAGGCUCGGAUACUUUUCAGGGAGAGUCUGAGGGCUCCUUACUGACUUGCACUGCUUGGGGUGCUCUAGUUUCCUCAUGAGAGGUGAUCUGGUUGCCUUGCUGAGACAAAGCUUUUUUUUUAAAAAAACAAGUUGAGAGUGGGUAAGAGUGUGGCCUUCCAUUUGGAGGGCGGUAGGGUGUGGGGUGCAGCUAAAAGGGGCCUGUUCAAGAUGGAGGCUCUUUGGUCUGCAGCCAUCUUGGGCUCCUGUCCAGAUCCCUCCAGGACUGGGGAGACAGGAGGUCAAGCCAAGAUGCUCCAGUUGAAGCCCAGGCCCACCACUGAGGGCCUCAGGUCCUGGCUUGCAGGGAGCCAGAGAAGUCUCCUUUGACUUAGGCCUUGAAGAACUGUUGCUCUAAAGAACAAAAGGAACGAAAACAAAAGCAAAAACAAAACCCCUAGGAGAGCAAAUAAGAAGCUUUUAUAAAACCUUCCUGAAAUGCAAACAGGGGAGGUCGGGAUCCCCCAGGAACUAAUUAAAGCUUCCUGCUUAAGUGCAAAGUAGCUGGUUUCUGAAGAUCUUCCCCUGUGCUUGGCCUGGGGCCUGCCAACCGGCCCCCUCUAAAUGGCUUUGUCUUCCCUUCUUGACUAAUUGCUGUUUAAGCUAAGUGUUGUCAGAUAAGUGGUUUCUUAUUCAAAUAACCAAAUAUCUUCUGGGCUCGAGAGACCUGCUCACCUUGGGCUGGGAGCAGGCUUCCCGUUAGUUUUCCCAUCUCUGCUUGGGCAAUUUAGCAACCUCUGGCUGAGAGAUGCCAGAUUAAUUAAAGAGGUGAUGCUAAUGCAGCACGGGGCUGAACACUGGAAAUCGGGUUUUAAUUGAAAAAUGAAAUGCAUCUUCCUAACAUCAGAGGUUAGAUUUGGAAUGCUGAUGUUUCAUUAGCAUAGCAUUUGGUGUUUAAGACUAAUAAAACAUCCAAUGGUGUGGGAGCCUUGGAGAAUCAGUGGAAUCCUCCAGUGGAUCUCCUCUCCACCAUAAGGCAGAUGAUGGCUGCCUCCUCCUAGCCAGUCUGUGCUGUGCGGCCCUUGGGUGCAGAGGGAAUGCAGCGCAGACCCUGCUUUUGGAAUGCAGGAAACACAUGCCAGCAUGGGUCCCUUAAGGCACAUCUCUUUGUGGGCAUCAUAAAAAUUUGGGCCCCCCAGCCAACUGAACAGACGCCUGCUCUUGGCCAAGGGGACCCCAGAGAAACCUGAAAAUCUGAGUUCUUGGCCAUGAGGGGAAGGGAGGUCGGAAAAGCCUUAUUAUACUCCCUCUCUUUUGGAGUCUAGGCACAAUGGGCCAGCAUAAAUGUUAAAAUACACAUUAUAAGGCUCACAAAACACACUCUUUGUGAAAAUAAGAUACCAAAUUAUUAAUAAGAUCCAAGGCUGUGCUAGGUAGGAGUUAAGUCGCACACCCAUGUGGGUCACUCUGAUGUAGUGUUUUGGUUAAGAGAUAUUUGAAAUGGUUGUUCCCCGGUGUUUAAAGAAAUAGCACUUGAACAUAAAUUUAAUGUACUCAGCAAGGCUAUUUUUACUUCCGGCAGAAAGGGUACACUCGCCAGCAGUUUUGCCACGAGAGUACACCGAACAAAGGAGACAGGGUCAUUUACAACCUGACGCACCCACCCUACUGCUGUGUCUGGAUUCCAUUGGCUGGAACGGGACCUCACAUGCUGUAUUUGUCCCAAUCGGCUAGCAACUUAGAACUUUUUAAAAGAGGCGAAGGCAGAGGAGAACAAAGGAAGGAGGAAGUAACUUGUGGAAGAUUUCGCCACUGCACUCCAGCUGGGGUGACAGGGUGAGACUCUGUCUCAAAAAAAAAAAAAAAAAAAAAAAAGUCUUUCAACUCCCACAAUGAUUCUGAGGCCUCUGUAGCCAUGUGGAACUGUAAGUCCAAUUAAAGCUCUUUUUGUUCCCAGUCUCAGGUACGUCUUUAUCAGCAGCAUGAAAACGAACUAUUACAACCAGUUGCAGAUAAAGAAUCUCUGAAUCCACUUAUAACUGGUAGGCC
rnacentral:lncRNA from 1 species